rnacentral:rRNA from 1 species
CUACGGAGGGUGCAAGCGUUAUUCGGAAUCACUGGGCGUAAAGGACGCGUAGGCGGGUUGGCAAGUCAGAUGUGAUAUCCUACAGCUUAACUGUAGAACUGCAUUUGAAACUGCUAACCUAGAGUAUGGGAGGGGGAGAUGGAAUUAGUGGUGUAGGGGUAAAAUCCGUAGAUAUCACUAGGAAUACCGAAAGCGAAGGCGAUCUCCUGGAACAUAACUGACGCUAAGGCGUGAAAGCGUGGGGAGCAAACAGGAUUAGAUACCCUAGUAGUCC